rnacentral:tRNA from 1 species
GCGGGCGUGGCGGAACUGGUAGACGCGCCAGCUUUAGGAGCUGGUGGGGCCGAGUCCCUGUGGAGGUUCAAGUCCUCUCGCCCGCACCA